AGGACGAACGCUGGCGGCGUGCUUAACACAUGCAAGUCGAGCGGAAAGGCCCUUCGGGGUACUCGAGCGGCGAACGGGUGAGUAACACGUGAGCAAUCUGCCCUUAGCUUCGGGAUAGCUCCGGGAAACCGGAUUAAUACCGAAUACGACCACGGCGACAUCAGCUGUGGUGGAAAGUUUUUCGGCUAGGGAUGAGCUCGCGGCCUAUCAGCUUGUUGGUGAGGUAACGGCUCACCAAGGCGACGACGGGUA
rnacentral:rRNA from 1 species